CAUGCCCGGUGGCCAAUCCUCUCCAGACGCGGAGACGCCACUCCCGAACGGAGGCAUGUCGAUCCCUGCUGCCCUUCCUCGCCAGAACGACGCGCGUCCUCACCAUGAAUGUUUCCGCCAUGACCUCCUCACAAAUUCUCAUAAAAUCACCCAAUAAAUCCGGGGAUUGAACGAGUGGAAACGGCUCCAUGGAACUCAUCCGUCGCCGCCGGCUCCAUGUUAAAAACUAGGCCUUGCUGCCAUCCGCAUGAAGCACAACAGCAUGCUCACGCCUCCACACAUGGCCGCUCCCCAUUCUAAUUCAUCUUUCCUUUUCUUAAUCCCUCAGCAUAUGUUUGUUAGUGUUUCAGGUUGUGCUCCACCCGGCUCGAGAGUUAAUCCACAUUUCCCCACGCCACCUGAUUUGAUUGGGUUUUGAUUGGAUUGUACAAGCUGCUCGAGAUCCACAAAAUUCGUUGAGGAAGCGGCCGCCCGCAUCUGAAAGUCGUUGAGGAACGCCACGGCUAGAGAUCUACAAAAUUUGAUCUAUCCAAACCUCCAAAGUAAGAUUAGUUAUCUGCCUUCAUAAUAAAAUAUUGCUUCUCCUUCCCCGGCCUGCACAGGCCGUCACCUUGCCGUUGCGGGCUUGCGGCCAUGUUCCACCAUCAGAUCUUGACAAGUCAUAUCUCUACUUGCCCUUUGACAUUGAUGGAGUGGUUAAUAGUUAGCGGAUUUUGAUCUAGAAUACUGAUUCGCUCUCUUCCCUGUUUUGGUUUAUCGUUGGAGUGGUUAAUAUUUAGCGGAUUUUGAUCUAGAAUACUGAUUCGCUCUCUCCCCUGUUUUGAUUUAUCUAUAAUUUUAUCUGCAAAGAUUAGGAAUUUUUCAGAUUGAUUACGAGAAGUAUAUUUACUCCCUGUUGAGUUCUUGAGGUGGACUACAAAACUGCAUAGCGAUAUUCACUAAAAGACCCUCUGUAAGUAUAUUUCUCCCUGUGAUUAUCUUUUUUAGUUCUAUUGUGGAAACUGAGUUCUACACAUGGGCUCAUAUAUCAGUGCAAUUCCUCUUUCAGAGCUUAUUCUUCUCCAGUGCAGUGCAGCAGUUUGGUAUAUGGCAAACUUUUUCCUCUUAGUUCAUCUUGAAAACAGAGUACUUUAGAUAGGCUCAUACAUCAGUGCAAGUCCUCCGUCAGAGUUCAUUCUUCUCCAAUGUUGUGUAGCCCAGUAGGAGUUCAGGGUAUGAGUAUAUGACACACUUUCUUUUAGUGAAAACAGAGAUUUCUUUUAGUGGGUUCAUAUGCCAGCUCAUUAUUCUCCUAUGUUCUAUAACAAUUUGGGGUAUGGCAACUGCUCUUGCCUUUCUAAGUUUUUAUGCCCAGGUUUGAUUUCUUCGAUGGUAUAUGAGACUUCAACUGUAGCUAACAAGGACUUGGUUGUGCAUGAUAAUGGACACUUUCAUACAGGUGAAUAAACAAAAGUUCAUUCUGAAGUCACUUUCAGGCAGUCGAGUGUCCAUCCCUCGAGAUACAUAUAGUACAUAAUUGUCAUAGUGGUCUUACUCGUGUCCGUAUCUUCACAGGUCAUCACAUAGAAGUGGUUUUUUACUUUUCAAUAGCCAGAUAUCAUUAUAUCAGAGCAGUAUAUUCAGCUUUUGGUGUAUUUUGGAUUACUCAUCACAUAGAUGAGAGUUGUCAACUGAGAGCAUGCUCAUGUUCAUCGUGAGGAGCGAGGCAGCUAGACAGUUUUUCAUAUAUUCGAAGAACUACAUCUCUACAUAUUGCAGAUUUUGCAUCACUUGGGCUGUAGACUUUCACCACAUGCAUGCAACUGCUGCAAAGACUCAGUUUCUACCAUCAGUCAGCUGUUACAACUUGACUCACCUUUUAGUUUUUUAAUGUCCUAACAAAAUACCAUUUUUGCACCAACAUUUUGCCUAUUCAUAAAGAAAUACUUUAUGUCCAUGGAGAAUGGAAACGGCUUUGUCAUUUUCGAAUUUAACCAAUGAUGUGACUCAAGUACCUUCAAUUGAAUCAUUGUCUUAGUAUACAUGCAGGUAUGUAAGUUCAGUACAGAUGUACCUUCAUUUUUUGCGCUGGAAAGGUCUUCGGCAAAAAGAUUGUUUAUUCAAAUGCAUUCCAAGUAACUAAACUUCAAGAUAGCUAGACUGCCGCAGUCGUCACCAUGGGUCCUUCCUGUUUGUUUGGCUCCACCACCAAUCUAUACUACACUUUUAUGAGCCAAUAUACAUGUAGCAUUUGGUUUAUCCUUUUGAUGACUUUUAUCUCCUAUAUCUUUUGGAGCUCAUUGUAGGUUUUAGACCCAACCUGUACCGAAUGACUUUAUUUGUUGAAUUGUAUUCCCAUUUUUGUGUGAAAAUAUUGAAUUCUAUUUUCUAACAGAUGUAUUCAUUUGUAUCUAUGCAAACUCCUCUACAUAGUACACGUCUUUUUUUCUCCACAAAACUAUUUAUGCUGAUUUCGUAUAGUUAUUGCUCUUUUAUGUCCGCUGCAACGCGCGGGGCAUCAUCUAGUAUGUCUAACAAUGCAAUUGAUGAGAUCUGCAGUCCAUAUAGGCUGCAGAUUACAAAAUUUCAAAAGAAAAUACUCAUAACUAAAGCCACAGAAAAAACAAAGAAGCCACAGAACCAAGACGGCUAGCCACUAGGGAGCUCGAAAAUGUUAAGUGCGAUGUGCUUUUAUGCUUGCAAAUAAAAUUGUUAUGCAGUAUUCAUGACUUUACUAAUAAAAACAUGUAUAUUUCUCUUAUGCAGGAUACAGGAAAUUACUCACAAACAGUUAACGAUGAUAUGCUAGAUGACUUCUUCAAUCAGGAAGGAUUUUCAUAUACAUGAUUGCUUCUUGGAACUAUGAAAAAAAAUGAAGUGAAUCAAAUAAGCGGUGACCAGGGACAAACUAACAAGGACACAGAGGAUGACAAGGUGGACACAUCUACUUCGUUCCUGGAAGAAGAAAUUGAUGAUCCAUGGAAUUUAAACAUGUUUGACAACAUGAACCUAGAUCAGGUUACUGAUAAUCCAAGUACAGAGCAAAACUAUGGGAUGAAGCACCCAAUGUCAGAGGAUUACCAUGAUCAAGCAUCGACAAGCACGAUUACUGACAACUCACCCAAUCAAACUGAAGAACAGCGCAAGGACAUAAUUGAAGAAGAUAUACACAUAUUCCUACAAAAUGAAGAGUUAGCUGCUGAGGGAAAGGAAAUGGAGGAGGAUACACAAAAUGAA